rnacentral:lncRNA from 1 species
CUCUUGAGAGUCCGAGAAUUAUGGAUGUUGUUCUGAUAGAACGAACAGUGAGAGUAGGAUCACUGUUGAGAGAGCGAUUGGUUAGUGGCCAAGUACAGGCACGUGGGCCUAGUGGUACCUCGAAUUGAAGUGGGUGAAUCGUGCCUGUGUGGUCGGUGUGCAUAGGCGUUGGAACGUGGUAGCGGCGUAUAGAGCGCUCGAGUAUAGAUACUCGUGGUGUGCGGUGUUGUUUCAGCCGGGAGAGUGUGUAGGCAGUAACACUGU